rnacentral:rRNA from 1 species
AUUGAACGCUGGCGGCAGGCUUAACACAUGCAAGUCGAGCGGGGGAAGGUAGCUUGCUACCGGACCUAGCGGCGGACGGGUGAGUAAUGCUUGGGAAUCUGCCUAUUAGUGGGGGACAACAUCUCGAAAGGGAUGCUGAUACCGCAUACGUCCUACGGGAGAAAGCAGGGGAUCUUCGGACCUUGCGCUAAUAGAUGAGCCUAAGUCGGAUUAGCUAGUUGGUGGGGUAAAGGCCUACCAAGGCGACGAUCUGUAGCGGGUCUGAGAGGAUGAUCCGCCACACUGGGACUGAGACACGGCCCAGACUCCUACGGGAGGCAGCAGUGGGGAAUAUUGGACAAUGGGGGGAACCCUGAUCCAGCCAUGCCGCGUGUGUGAAGAAGGCCUUAUGGUUGUAAAGCACUUUAAGCGAGGAGGAGGCUACUUUAGUUAAUACCUAGAGAUAGUGGACGUUACUCGCAGAAUAAGCACCGGCUAACUCUGUGCCAGCCGCCGCUGUAA